CCCAACCUGGCAGUUACACAGAGCCCAUGACAGAACCUAGGGCAUUGCUUUCAGUUUUAUUAUUAUCUCUAUUCUGCAGGUGUGGAGUUGGAGACUCAAAAAUGUUAAAUGAACUGCCUAAGAGCAGAUAAAGAGCAAGGGGAAGAGGUGGAAUUCAAACUUAGAUUUCCUCGUGCCAAAUGUCACCAUGUCAUCAGAUCCUCCUCCCCCUCCCAAGGCCUCUGAUCCUCGAACAUGGUUGGCAAGUCACACUCACUGUGGCCAGGAUAUCAGAGAGAAAGGAGAUAUGAUCAUUGCCCUACAUCAUUAUAUUAAUAGGCACUAAAUGGCCAUUAUAAGACACAUUUCCUUUUCCUCGCACCUUCCAACUCCAGUUGCAGAUACAAUCAGUGGACAGCAAAGGAUUUGAAGCAGUCCAAGGCUGUGAGGUUUAUAGAAGUCCUGACUUUAUCGUUUGCCCUCUCCCAAGGUCAUUCGGAGGAUGGUGAGCACCUAGCCAAGUAUGACCUAUUGCUGAGAAACCCUUGAAAUUUACUAAAGAAAACAUUUUGCCACACCCUUCCCUUUUAGAAGAGAAACAUUGUUUACUUUGUAUUUAUGCUUCCCACUUCUUUAUUUGAAAAAGAUCAGUCUGAUUCCCAAUAGCCUGAUACUCCCACCUGGAUUUUGCUGUAAGAUCAUAGGAAAAAGUGCUUGAUGUGAAUUCACAGUCACCUACCUUCUGUCUCCA
rnacentral:lncRNA from 1 species